rnacentral:rRNA from 1 species
UACAGAGGUGGCAAGCGUUGUUCGGAAUUACUGGGCGUAAAGGGCGAGUAGGUGGCCAUCUAAGUCAGACGUGAAAUCCCCCGGCUUAACCUGGGAACUGCGUCUGAUACUGGACGGCUUGAGUAUGGGAGAGGAACGUAGAAUUCCAGGUGUAGCGGUGAAAUUCGUAGAUAUUGGGAAGAACACCGGUGGCGAAGGCGGCGAGCUGGUCCAUUACUGACGCUGAGGCGCGACAGCGUGGGGAGCAAACAGG